GGGGUGUGCUCAGAGCAGGGUGGGUGAAGAAAUGGCUCCUCUGUUUACAACCCACCCAACAGGAACUGGGGUCACUGUGACAAGGGGCACAAAAUGUGUGGCCUUCCUGUGGACAAACCCCCUACAAGU
rnacentral:snoRNA from 1 species